AUUGAACGCUGGCGGCAGGCCUAACACAUGCAAGUCGAGCGCGAAAGGCCUUCGGGCUGAGUAGAGCGGCGGACGGGUGAGUAACGCGUAGGAAUCUACCUGGUAGUGGGGGACAACUUGGGGAAACUCAAGCUAAUACCGCAUACGCCCUAAGGGGGAAAGCGGGGGACCUUCGGGCCUCGCGCCAACAGAUGAGCCUGCGUAGGAUUAGCUAGUUGGUGAGGUAAAGGCUCACCAAGGCGACGAUCCUUAGCUGGUCUGAGAGGAUGAUCAGCCACACUGGGACUGAGACACGGCCCAGACUCCUACGGGAGGCAGCAGUGGGGAAUAUUGCGCAAUGGGGGCAACCCUGACGCAGCCAUGCCGCGUGUGUGAAGAAGGCCUUCGGGUUGUAAAGCACUUUCAAUGGGGAAGAAAAGCGUAGCGUUAAUAGCGUUGCGCCGUGACGUUACCCAUAGAAGAAGCACCGGCUAACUCCGUGCCAGCAGCCGCAGUAAAAC
rnacentral:rRNA from 1 species